AGCGAACGCUGGCGGCAGGCCUAACACAUGCAAGUCGAGCGCCCCGCAAGGGGAGCGGCAGACGGGAGAGUAACACGUGGGAACGUACCCUUCAGUUCGGAACAACCCAGGGAAACCUGGGCUAAUACCGAAUACGUCCGUAAGGAGAAAGAUUUAUCGCCGGAGGAUUGGCCCGCGUCUGAUUAGCUUGUUGGUGAGGUAAUGGCUCACCAAGGCGACGAUCAGUAGCUGGUCNGAGAGGAUGAUCAGCCACAUUGGGACUGAGACACGGCCCAAACUCCUACGGGAGGCAGCAGUGGGGAAUAUUGGACAAUGGGCGAAAGCCUGAUCCAGCGACGCCGCGUGAGGGAUGACGGCCCUCGGGUUGU
rnacentral:rRNA from 1 species